AACGUAGGAGGCAAGCGUUAUCCGGAUUUACUGGGCGUAAAGCGUGUGCAGGCGGUUGUCCAAGUCGGGUAUGAAAGCGCUCCGCUUAACGGGGCGAGGCUAGACGAGACUGGGCGACUAGAAUCAGACAGAGGCAAGCGGAAUUCCGGGUGUAGUGGUGAAAUGCGUAGAGAUCGGCAGGAACACCCAGGGGGAAACCAGCCGACUGGGCAUCAACUGACGCUGAGGUGCGAGAGCGUGGGGAGCGAACCGG
rnacentral:rRNA from 1 species